UCGACAUCGACAUCUCUCGGCUACCCAAAUACUCGCUCAGAUACGUGUACACGAACACACACCUGCUGCCAGACAGAAGGUCUGUCUGUAAGGACGUCUCCCAAGAUUGGCAUAAUUUCAAGUACGAGUAAAGGAAAGACAACAGCAUUGUCCGCCUUCAAGGAAAGUGCAUCGGAGAGCCACCAGCUGCUGCGAUCCACGACUCGUUUUAGCCAAAUUUGUCGCUUCGCAAGGUUGAAAGCUGCAUAAUCGAGGCUUGCCUGUUCCAGCAGCAGAGCAACAGAGCAGCAGAGCAUCAGAGCUGCCUCAAAUUAGUCGUCUUUCAGUUUAUUUCUCUCGUUUUACAGUCAACAACUUUGACUUUUGACUGCACUGUAAUUUAGCCGUAAAUUCACAUGUUAACUUGUGUGUGGAGGGGAGUGGAGUGAAAAAUGCUGCCAUGUGCCCAGCGGGCGAAUAAUUUUCCUUCAUUUUCUGCUUUGCUGCUUUGUUGCGUCAAAAUUAAAUCAUCAUUAAAUCUCUGUUUUACACAUAAUUGCUUUAAUUUGCAUGCUAAAACAGCAGGGAAAGAGUGACUGAAAUUCGUUUUCAAGUUGGGGAUUCAAUUACGCUAAGCGUUCGUGACAGAUGGAGAAGGAGGGUAGGAGAAAAGGCCAAAAAAGGCCAGAGAAACAACUCCCAUAUCCAUGGGCUGGCAGAGAGAUCUUUCGGCAAAGAAUCGCAUAAAGAUAUAUAGAUACUGCCAAAGAAACGAAAGGGAGAAACCAGUAAAUACGAGAUUGGUGACCCCGAAUUUUAUAUAUUUGCCCAAAAACAAAUUCAGAAACUUGCAACUCCAAUUAAAUGUCUAAUUAAAACCAAUUUGAUCUUAUUUGUGGAAUGACAUAACGAUGGCUCUCCCUGGUGGACUGGUGGAUUGGUGACCACGACAGAAAUCACAGAAUCUGAAGCAAUUGAAUGGCAGAUUGCCUCAAUCUUGUUACAUUUUGGACCUCGACCUCGGCUAGCAGCAGCAUUUAUCUAAACAAAUUCAGAAAUUGCAAUUAAAUUCAUUAACGUCAA